GGAGUGCUUGCACUCUGUGAAACAAGAUACAGGCUAGCGGCGGACGGGUGAGUAACACGUGGGUAACCUGCCCAAGAGAUCGGGAUAACACCUGGAAACAGAUGCUAAUACCGGAUAACAACAGAUGAUGCCUAUCAACUGUUUAAAAGAUGGUUCUGCUAUCACUCUUGGAUGGACCUGCGGUGCAUUAGCUAGUUGGUAGGGUAACGGCCUACCAAGGCGAUGAUGCAUAGCCGAGUUGAGAGACUGAUCGGCCACAUUGGGACUGAGACACGGCCCAAACUCCUACGGGAGGCAGCAGUAGGGAAUCUUCCACAAUGGACGCAAGUCUGAUGGAGCAACGCCGCGUGAGUGAAGAAGGGUUUCCGCUCGUAAAGCUCUGUUGUUGGUGAAGAA
rnacentral:rRNA from 1 species